GUCAGCGGUCAAAGCGAACAGGUUACACCCGUUCCCAUUUCGAACACGGAAGUUAAGUUGUUCUACGUUUUUGUCGGUACUGCACAAGUGUGGGAAAGCAAGAAAGCUGCUGACA
rnacentral:rRNA from 1 species